UCCCAGCACCUUCCUAUCAGGCGUGGUUGGGUGGGCUUUUGUGGGUUUUUCUCCACAAGUGCUAGUGCACAAACUUGCAGAAGCUACGUGACGUUAAUGGUGCGUGUGGUGUUGUACUCCGUCUCCGCUCCCUUUGGACUCUGACAUUCAACUCACACACAGUUGCCCGACGGGCUCAGUUUAGCCACCAAAGGGGACCUACUACUAAUGUAAGUGACAGAGAUGCUUUUGAACUUCCUCCACGGCUGCACGGUUCCUCAGAAAGCAGUUACGCCUGCCAGCUCAAUCAAAGCCAUCCCUUCGCUGCUGUCCUGGACAGCUGUGCAGCUUUUGCUCGCAUGCUCUGCAUCUUGCUUGACAUGGUUGAGGGGAAUGUAGCCAGCAAGACUCCUGGGCUAUGCUCUAGGAAUGGAACCAUCCUCAACUGUGUGAAACGGAGCGAGUUUCUAAGUUGUGUUUCAGCAGGAACCAGGCAGUGCUAGGAACAAGCAAGUGUUGGCAAGAGCUCAGGGCAGCUCUUCCCUCACCCUGCACCAUGCACGACUCACACCGCUCACUCUUUUCUCCCUCCAGACCAAGUCCACCCAGCAAGAUGAAGGAACCAGCAGCUGGCAGUUGGUGUUCCUGCUUCAGCCUGAGAGAACCAUCCUCUGUGGCCAAACACCAACUGCAGCACAAUGCCAGGGAGCCCUCAGAAACAGAGAUUGUGGUGGUCCUGGCAGGUAAGGGUGCACAUCCAGCUGUCAAAACACUGCUUGUCAGCGCCAUCGAAUUCAUGCUUGCAGUGGGCUUGUUCCUCCUGCUAGCGUUCAAGCCCGUGCCUACCAUCUUCGGUUCAGCCCUGUCUUUCUUUCCCAAAUGA
rnacentral:lncRNA from 7 species